rnacentral:rRNA from 1 species
GACGUAGGGUGCGAGCGUUGUCCGGAUUUAUUAGGGCGUAAAGAGCUCGUAGGCGGCUCGUCGCGUCGACCGUGAAAACCCGCGGCUUAACUGCGGGCUUGCGGUUGAUACGGGCGGGCUAGAGUUCGGUAGGGGAGACUGGAAUUCCUGGUGUAGCGGUGAAAUGCGCAGAUAUCAGGAGGAACACCCGUGGCGAAGGCGGCUCCCUGGUCCGAUUCUGACGCUGAGGCACGAAGGUCAGGGAGGCAAACGGG